AGCAUUUUAUUAGGUAGACAAAAUGCCCUGUUAUACAAGCUGACCCAUCAUUUGAUUUGUUUAUUUUAGCUUUAGGAUAGCCCCCUGUGGUCGAGUGACUUUGGACUCAGUCCCUCUACCCGUGGUGGUGGGUAGAGUAGGCCACACCGAGUGUCUGUGUGCAGCUUGGUGAGCAGGGUUAACUCCAUUCUCGUUCAUUUUUGAAGGUUCACCUGCUGCUGUUUUGCUGUACUUUUGUCUUGCUUAUCUUCUGUUCGUGUUUAUAAUAUUUUGGGUUUAUUGAACCAUUGUUAAAUCUUUGUUUUGAUACUGUAUUCGUUUUUUUGGGAUGCCAAACUGUAGGGAUGCUAGUAGGCACCCAUGAGGUCCCUUCACAUGCGUGCGAGUUGAAGCACUGGGAUGCAGUGAUUGAGGUGAGGCCCUUGAGCUCAUCCAACGACGAGGUCUGUUGGUGUUCGGAGCGAUUCCAACGCAGAAAACCCAUUUCUCGCUUUAAGGCGCACCAUCUCAUGAGUGUACAUGUGUGGUUGUUACCCCCUUUCUCCUGUUCUGAUAUAUUUUUAACUUGUCAUCCAUCUCUGGCAUAUGUGUACGACGUAGAUGAAGUCUUUGAAGAUUGGUAUGGAAAAAAACAUUGGUCUGGAUUUUUCUUGGGUCAAAGAUGUUUCAUAAAAUGUGAUCUUAGUUUAUUGGUUCAGACUAGGACCAGCAGGUCUCUGGUGAUGGUUCUUCUGUCAGACCGGCUCCAGGGUCCCGGCGAGGCUCUGGGAGUCCAUGUGAGGAUGUUUUGGAAGAGUAAUGAUGCUCAGACCGUUAGACGGGCCAGACCACAUGUUCUAUGGUUGGUUCCAGUACCUGGCGCUGGUACUCUCAGUGGAUCUGGUUCCUAAGUGCUGUGAAUUCUAACAUCUCGGCGAUUUUGGUUAUCUCCAUGGAAAACCUGGUUCCAGUCUAUCGUCAAUCAGAGCUUUGACAGAUGGUAAAUCUGUCUGGGCCACACACAGUCAACCUACCGUCUCAUAUUGAGCUCGUGGUGUCGAGACAGGCCAGCGUCAAGGUGCCAGGCAGAGGAGAGCUGUUGGAGACCUGGGGGCAAGUCCUGCUGAUGACCUCCAUUGAACCUCCCGUUUUUAAGAAUUGUAACGUCAUGUAUGACCUUUGACCCUGUCUCUGUUGGCUAGCAGUGUGGAGUCUGGGGUUCAAGUUCGCUCAUUUCCAUGUCGAAAUACGGAGUGAAAUGAAUCGUCUUAUUUCAAUGUGACUGGUAAAGUAUAACCUCAGUGCCCAUCCUUGCCGGCAGUCACCUGAACCCUAGCCCCGUACCCCUGAACCCUAAUCUUAACCCUGACCCUAGCCCUAACCCCUAACCCUCUUUGCCCCAAUCUUCUCCAAACUGCACCAUAACCUUUGUUGAACAAAUUAACCUCUGUUGUAGAAGUAACGUACAGAUCCACAUAUCUAACCUGAAUACUAAUGUUGAUAAUAUGACCUGAGUGUUUUUCUAUGGAACAGUCUGCACCAGUACCAGGGAAGCUGAUGGCUGAGAUAUCCAAGCUGAAACCUCCCUCUUCAGUCUGACUGACUGGAUGCCUGGACUCUCCUUCCAGCCCCCAGUGCCACUCUUUAUAUUCACUAUCACUAACUGAAUGAUUUCACAUGUUCCCACCCUUGAGGGAGGGAUUCCCCACUCUGCCUUUCUUCUCAACAUUUCUUCCUCUUAAGAGUUUUUCUUGCCCUCUGGGGGUCAAGGGUCAGGGGGGGUGUCAUAAAUAAAUGGCCUGUGACAAUCUGAGUAUGUAACUGAUAAGAGCUAUACAAAUAAAACUGAAUUGACUUGAAUAAUCUUCCACUUUACUCCAAGAAUUUCACGUGCAUAUAUUCAAGCAAACAACUUUUAUAUUUGUUUUUAUCAUUUAGACACUGGAUAUCAGAGACAAUAGAUCAUCACAACCAAUUAUAAAAUAUCAGUCCGAACAUCAAGCAGCAAAUGUUUUCUAUGAAUCAUCAAAAUGAGAUUCUGUCGCUGACAGCAGAUCAGAGUCCUGAUCCACUGACAUGUCGGGGACUAUGGCAACCGUGGGGAAAUAAAGACUAUUUACUGCUGUAAGCUAGUGCCGUGGGAACAGCAAAGACCGCAUAGACGGCAGUGUUAAUAUGUUCAUCACCAUGGAAACAAGAUGCUUCCUUAUCAAAUCAAUCAUUUUUUAUUCCUGUAAAUGUAUCACACUGGUUAACAGCAAUGUGAGUUGUAUUGUCAGACAAAGUUUAUACUGGUAACACCAAAGAUAUAUAGAUUCCUCGUUGAAAUGUGAAGUACUUUGUGUAUUUCGGAGUACAGAGUUAUGUCCAAGCUUCCCUCAUUUCUAAUCUCAAAACACACGAGAGUAAACGCGCAAAACAGGAGAAUCAGAAAGACAAUCGUUGAGUUCAACACACGAC